GCCUGCUGGCCACGGAUGAGCUCAGUCGGUGGAGCAUGAGGCUCUAAUCACAGGGUUGUGGGUUCAAGUCCCACAAUGGGCA